GAUCCUGGCUCAAGAUGAACGCUAGCUAUAGGCUUAACACAUGCAAGUCGAGGGGCAGCAUGAACUUAGCUUGCUAAGUUUGAUGGCGACCGGCGCACGGGUGAGUAACACGUAUCCAACCUGCCGAUGACUCGGGGAUAGCCUUUCGAAAGAAAGAUUAAUACCCGAUGGCAUAGUUCUUCCGCAUGGUAGAACUAUUAGAGAAUUUCGGUCAUCGAUGGGGAUGCGUUCCAUUAGG
rnacentral:rRNA from 1 species